UCACAAUGCCAACGUCAUUCACCCCAUGUCCUCUCAUCACGUAGGCGUGUUAACCUCUCCCAUCAUAACGAGAGGGGAAUGUACGCACAAGCGAAAACAGACCGCGUGAGAGCUGCGGAGCACAGAAGGAGCAUGCACCGUGGCUAGUGGAGAGGAGCUGAGUCACAUGACUGACUUGGUUUGAAAACUUAGUAAAAAUUUUCUAUCAUGGUGCAAACCAUUAUACAGUU